UACGUAGGGUGCAAGCGUUGUCCGGAAUUAUUGGGCGUAAAGAGCUCGUAGGCGGUUUGUCGCGUCUGCUGUGAAAACUCGGGGCUUAACUCCGGGCCUGCAGUGGGUACGGGCAGACUAGAGUGCGGUAGGGGAGACUGGAAUUCCUGGUGUAGUGGUGAAAUGCGUAGAUAUCGGGAGGAACACCAGUGGCGAAGGCGACUUCCUGGCCUGUUCUUGACGCUGAGGCGCGAAAGCUAGGGGAGCAAACGGG
rnacentral:rRNA from 1 species